UACAGAAGCCCCACUCAACACCCUAGAUAGCCUGGGGCCUCCAGAGCGUGAGGAAAACAUAACAAACGAGAAAACCAAACUUUACUAAUUUUUUUCAAGUUUAAAACAGUCACCACACUGCUGCAACAUACAUGAGCAAGUAGAAUUCAUGCAUACCCUCUCCCAGUUGGACAGUAAAGGCAAGGUCCAUGUGGAUCAUAAAUUCGUCUUAUGGCACAUAUGUCCCCUCUCAUGGAUGAAGUAACUCUGAUUGGGUCAAGAGAGCAUGGGUUUGGGGGUGUCCUGAGAGGUCAGAUCCCCUGGAUCUGAAGUUGUAAGAAGUUAUGAGCUGCCUGCCACAGGUGCUGGGACCUGAACUCUGUUCCUCUUGAAGAGCAUCAAGCGAUCAUAACCGCGAUCUAACCGCUGAGUCAUUUCUCUAGUCCCACAAAGGCAGUCUCUAAGGCGGGUAUGGGGUAGAGGUGGGGAC